GUGUCAGCAGCCGCGGUAAUACGUAGGGGGCAAGCGUUAUCCGGAUUUACUGGGCGUAAAGCGCGUUAAGGCGGCCGGCCAAGUUGAGGGUGAAAUUUCAGGGCUCAACCCUGAAACUGCCUUCAAUACUGGUCGGCUCGAGUGCGAGAGAGGAGAGUGGAAUUCCCGGUGUAGUAGUGAAAUGCGUAGAUAUCGGGAGGAACACCAGUGGCGAAGGCGGCUCUCUGGCUCGCAACUGACGCUGUAGCGCGAAAGCGUGGGGAGCGAACGGGAUUAGAUACCCCGGUAGUCC
rnacentral:rRNA from 1 species